rnacentral:lncRNA from 1 species
AAUAAAACUGGCACAUUACAAGGUGAGUAACUAGGUCGAGCAAAACCUCUGUCUAUCAAUUCGUGCAAUUGUACCUUCAGCUAUUAUGUAAGGUGCUAUGGAUAUUAGCUUUGUUCCCAGGACAAGGUCUAUAAAGAAUUCUACUUCUCUUUCCGGUGGCAAACUAGGUAAUUCUUCUAGGAAUACAUCAGGAAAUUCACUUACUACUGGCACUGAAUGAAUCUUUGACUCAAAUACCUUAGUAUCCAUCACAUAUGCAAG